GACGAACGCUGGCGGCGUGCUUAACACAUGCAAGUCGAGCGGAGCGGCGAACGGGUGAGUAACGCGUGAGUAACUGCCCCCCUCUCUGGGAUAACAGUUGGAAACGGCUGCUAAUACCGGAUAGUGGGGGAUGACUCGCGUCCGAUCGGCUUGUUGGUGGGGUAGCGGCUUACCAAGGCGAGGACGGUUAGCCGGCCUGAGAGGGCGACCGGCCACAGUGGGCUGAGAGACGGCCCAGACUCCGACGUGGGGCAGCAGUGGGGAAUAUUGUGCAAUGGGGGAAACCCUGAAGCAGCAACGCCGGGUUCGUGAUGUCGGCCUACGGGUUGUAAACCGCUUUCAGCCAUGACGCGUUAGUGGCAGAAGAAGCACCGGCUAACUACGUGCCAGCAGCCGCGGUAAUUC
rnacentral:rRNA from 1 species